rnacentral:sRNA from 2 species
CCGCCGCGUCAUCUGGGGAGUAGCCAGCCGUCGCUUGCGACGGGCCGCCGCGUCAACAUACUUGGCCGAGAGGUCAUGGUGCGGUGGAAGCGGGAUCACCGCUU